rnacentral:lncRNA from 1 species
GAAGGAGUGGAUACCUCCUGAGCGGAGGCUGGAGUACCAGACCCUGGCAGCUUUACAGAGUGUGGUAGGGAAGCCGAUGCAGAGGAGGGCAUCGGUUGCCCCUUGAAUUGUCAUGAGAGCUUUGUAGCUCUCCAGAUGGUCAACUGGAUCAGUGGAGUUGUCGUAAGGCUCCACAUGAGGUAUUUUGAACCGACUAGGGAUCGGUUCAUCG